UGUGUAUGUGUGUGUAUAUAAAAUGAGAAAGAAAGUGUGUGUGUAUUUGUAUGUAUUUUAUCUGCCCUCCAACUAUUUCUAUAAAGAAUGAAUUAUAUUAAAAUAUCUGUUAUUUGCAUUCAUCUUAAACAGGCAUGCAUAUAUAUCUAUAUAUAAUAUAUAUAAUAAUAAUAAUUUGAGGGAAUAUUAUUCCAAAC